ensembl:lncRNA
GUUUGUGUCAGCUGUCUUGUCUGUGUCCCCUGCCAGCUCCGUGUUCCUUGCUGUCAGGCCAGCAGGAGAAGCUGAAAUGUCCUUGGUUCCAGGGCACAGCUGAGGUGGAAGCUUUCUGGUAAUAUGAAGAAUGCAGUACUUUUUCAGGAGUACUGACCAACUGUGUCUGAAACUGCAGAUGGAAUCAUGGCUGAUGUCAAUAAUUCCUGUACUGCUGCUUUGAGUACCUCUAUGUUGCUUGUGAAAAUGACAGCUGUUGAACAUUUUUAUGAGAGACACAUUGCACUUAUCAGGAUCUGAAGGCUCUCUGUGUAUAUCUGAUGACUAAGGGAAAUAAACUGCUAGAAAAUCACAGAGGAUCUCAUGGUGUCAUAACAAAUGCAAUAACAAGUCAGUCUUUGUAUUCAGCAGAAGAACAGCAGUACAGACUGGACAGAUGAAAAAAGAAGUGCCCUGUGGCUCAUAGCAUCGUAUGGAGAUAAAUUUCCAAAAAGAGGAGAGGAAGAUCCACCUAUCUCUGUAACAAAGUUAAUUGUACUCUCGUGAGAUAUGUCACUGAAAUGAGAAAUGUGAAAAAAAGACUGUGGGAUAAAGCUUCGACGGCUGCCAUGAAUGCUCACUUCAGUCAGCAAAGGUCUGAAAAUGCUUUGGGUCUUGGAUAUGUUAAUUGUAGAAAAUCAUUGCCUAAAUCAAAAUAUACCAGGGUGAAAGUACAGAAAGCUGCUGUCUCUCCCU